CGAAUGCUGACAUAAGUAACGAUAAAGCGGGUGAAAAGCCCGCUCGCCGGAAGACCAAGGGUUCCUGUCCAACGUUAAUCGGGGCAGGGUGAGUCGACCCCUAAGGCGAGGCCGAAAGGCGUAGUCGAUGGGAAACAGGUUAAUAUUCCUGUACUUGGUGUUACUGCGAAGGGGGGACGGAGAAGGCUAUGUUGGCCGGGCGACGGUUGUCCCGGUUUAAGCGUGUAG
rnacentral:rRNA from 1 species